UACGUAGGGGGCAAGCGUUGUCCGGAUUUAUUGGGCGUAAAGAGCGUGUAGGCGGCUAGAUAGGUCCGUUGUGAAAACUCGAGGCUCAACCUCGAGACGUCGAUGGAAACCAUCUGGCUAGAGUCCGGAAGAGGAGAGUGGAAUUCCUGGUGUAGCGGUGAAAUGCGCAGAUAUCAGGAAGAACACCGGUGGCGAAGGCGCUCUGCUAGGCCGUAACUGACACUGAGGGACGAAAGCUAGGGGAGCGAAUGGG
rnacentral:rRNA from 1 species